CGAAAACCACGCAGUGCACCAUGGAUCAGCACCGUUCUACGCUCCUGUUUACUUAGCAUGCAGUGUGCCGCUGAUGUCGGUUUAGUACCUACCUGACCUCCUGCUCAGCUCAGCUAGCAUACAGUGUAUUGCUGAUGUCGGUUUAGUACCUACCUAAGCUCCUGCUCAGCUAACAUACAGUGUACCGCUGAUGUUGGUCUAGUAACUGCCUAAGCUCCUGUUUAACUAGCAUACAGUGUACAACUGAGCCUGGGUCAGGGCCUAACUGCAUGCCCGAUCACUCUUAGGUGUCAUUCUGCCAAUAAGGUGCCAGAUGGCAGCCACCCCUCUGUGAAACAUUAAUAAUAGUGGAGGUGUCCUGCAUGCUAACACACUAAAGAGGCUACGUGUACAAGCAGUGUAUUUCUGCCCGCCAUUGCCGUAACCUCCUUGCAGUAUCACAUGAUCAGCAAGUGUGUGGCCUCACUGGGGAAUUUCUGGCUGCAGUACAAGAUCUGUGCACAUUUGAGUAAAUAUUUACAUUUAUACUACACAGCGCACAAAAACAACGGAAGAGGUCAAUCCCCUCUGCUUUAGUAGCUUAAUGUUGUUUGAAUACUCUUUUGUUAGUUAACCACUCCCCUUUCUGAUUCUAUGAGAAAAUCAAACAAGUCUUUGCAUAUGAAAUUGGGUGGGAUGCAACUCCAGUAGGGUGAGCAUAUAGCAGAUGGGAUUAGAAAGGAUGUGCAAGAUUCCUGUGGUCCUAUGGUCCAUGCAGGGGCCAUAUUUUACAGCUUUACAGCUGGGACGAUACCACUCAAAAUAUGAAACAAAACGGACCAUCAAGAUAAACCCGAAUGCACAUUCAAAUGUAAAUGUCUAGCACAACCUAGAAUUAAAAGAGCAACAUUCUUUGCUAGUGAAAUGAACACUUCAUGUUGCAUCACAAAAAAGUGAAGCAAUAUAAAAACAUGGUGAGUUUUAGCCAUGUUUUUUUUACUGCCAGAACAGCAUGAGACUCAUUAUCAGGCCGUUCUGGACUAGCAUCAAAGCAGUAAUGAUUCUGCAGAGACGUGCAAAACCGCUGAGAAGGCAUUAUUGCAUCACUGUGCUGGGAAGAGCAAUUACUGGAAUACAUACUGAACAGGGUGAAGAUACUCACCACUACACAGCAUAAGAUAAGGCCCAGUGUGUAAUUACUGGAAUACACACUGAACAGGGUGAAGAUACUCACCACUACACAGCAUAAGAUAAGGCCCAGUGCGUAAUCACUGGAAUACACACUGAACAGGGUGAAGAUACUCACCACUACACAGCAUAAGAUAAGGCCCCGUGCGUAAUUACUGGAAUACACACUGAACAGGGUGAAGAUACUCACCACUACACAGCAUAAGAUAAGGCCCAGUGCGUAAUCACUGGAAUACACACUGAACAGGGUGAAGAUGCUCACCACUACACAGCAUAAGAUAAGGCCCAGUGCGUAAUCACUGGAAUACACACUGAACAGGGGGAAGAUACUCACCACUACACAGCAUAAGAUAAGGCCCAGUGCGUAAUCACUGGAAUACACACUGAACAGGGUGAAGAUACUCACCACUACACAGCAUAAGAUAAGGCCCAGUGCGUAAUCACUGGAAUACACACUGAACAGGG